ACUAUUUUUUAUAAUACAUGUUUGAAUGAAGCUAUAUGUUUAUUAAUUUAAUAAUUAAUAAAAUCUAAUAUAAAAGUAGCUUACUUCUGAGACUUUUAAAGGCUUUCCGCUUUCAACCAUUAUAUAAUAGGUUAGUUAUCUCUUCGUAGUUUUUGUCAGGCAAAUGGACCGAGGCCUAACACAGUACAGAUUUUAGAGGACAGAACAUUCUCUAAUGGUUUUAAACCUUUCAUAAUUAUAGCAAGCAACUUUCUUCAUUCUUUUACUACACUUAAGCUCUGGGUUUCUGUUCUUACAUAACCACUAUUGCUGUAUUUGGAUUCAACUGCUGAAAUCCAUUAUAGCAAUUAUGAAAUAUGCAAAAUUAUCAGUCUAGACAACGUGCUGAGAUUCAGGAAGAGGAAAACAAAUAGGAAAACCUUAAGAGUAGUCAGUCGGUAAGGGCUCCAAAGGAAAAACACAGUCUUCAUUUCUGCUUUUAGGUUUUUAUGUGGGGCCUAUGUACUUACCUCUCCUCCUCUGCCUCACCUUCUUACAGUCCAUCAAAAGAAUAAAAACGUAAAAAAAAAAAAAAAAAAAAGAAAAAGAAAACUGCUAUAGCACUACUGGAAAAGGGAGAGAAGUGUACCUGUCUACCAUUGACAUAUAAAAAAUGUAGAAGUUCUGGAGCAUGUGAAACACAGGGAACCACAUGGAGCCAAACUAAUCAGACUUGAAUAGCAGGAAAGAUCCUUCUAGGCUGGCUCAUCACCAUCUGGCUUAGAUUACCCCUGUUGGAUAGAGCUCUGGUCCCAGAACAUUCCUAUGCUGCUGUCAGUCUCCAAAGAGCUCUUCUGGAGUUAAUGCACAAAUCUCUGGUUCAAUCAGUUGCCACUGAUUUAAUGGAGAGGCCACCUUUAAACAAAUCUUACAGAGAAGAAGUGUGUUUUCCUUCACUUCAGGGAUCCUAAACGAGAGAAGGUGUGGGACCAGAACUGGACCACAGAGGCUCCAACAAGCCGCCUCUCCCUCUCCACACCCCACUCGGUCCUAAGACUCCGGAGGCACACAUCAGACUCCCAAAGUCAGGAAGUGGGGGAUGUGAGGUAGUUUGACAAUUCUCCCUUGAGAUGGGGUUUCUCCAUGUUGGUCCAGCUGGUCCUAAACUCCCGACCUCAGCAGCACCAUAGGGCAGUGACACCACCUUCUGCAAGAAGAGAAACUCUGAACCAAUUACAACAAUAUCAUUUCUGUGUCGAAACAUAAGUCAUUGGAAACCCACUGCAACCAUGCUUCUGUAAUAGCAGCUGGAACCUCCAAUUCUAGAAAGAAAAGAGGGAAGGAAGAAGAGAUGGGUCACUGGUGUCUUCCUACAACUUCAUAAAUCUGCUGAUAGUUGCCAAAUUUGGAAAGUCGUGUGAAAAGAGAUGGGCAGAGUAAGAAAGAUCAGAGGACAUCUUUGACAGUCACUUCUGAAUGUAUGCAGUAAACAUUGCAAGCCAGAUUAAUAGCAUGGAUGAAGAAACUGACCAGGUGUGAAACUCUCUUUGUUCUUAUCUCCCUAUUAAAGAUAUUCAUUGAGCUCCUUUUUCAGAUCAAGUUCUUUUUUUUUAAGUCAAAGGAUUUUGAGACAGCCAAGUUGGUGGAUAUGAGUGGUUCCUAAAUAGUGCUUCAUAUUAAUGUGACUAAAGAUCUGAACAUACUGAACUUUAAACAACAGAGGAAGAAACAGAACUAAUUUGUUCAAAGAAAUGCAGGUAUUCAGGCUGACACUCAGUAUGUGGAUUGACUAGAGCUACUAGAAAGCUGAAUUUUCUUCCAUCACUUGAAUGUUAUACCUCAUUCAAGUAGAACAUUGAUUUUAGAAAAUUUCAACAGUUUCCGCUAAAAACAAAGCCACAGUUUCAAAGAUGAUUCAAAGUUUUUGAGUGUCAAUUAUCUUCAAUUUUUUGCAAGUAUAUUUCUUGAGCUAGAAGCUGUGUGAAUUAUCAGGUACCCAUCUUUGAAGGAAGAAAGGAAAAUCUUUAAAUUCCUAGAAUUUUACUUUUUGAAAUGAGUAUAUUAAUCCUAGGAAUAUCCUUAUGUUUUUGGAACAUUUAAGCAGACUGUAGACCUAAGUCCAUGGCUUAUAUGUUCUCUUGCAUGAAAUUGAUGAAAUCAAAGUAAAAGCUAAUAUGACUUAUAAAAAAAACCUUGAGUCACAAAUGAGAUAUUCUCUAAUAGAAUUCAUUUCUAUGUACCUGCCACCAGGCCUCAAAAGUAUUUGCCUGUUAAUAUUUUGGUUAAACAUUUUUUUUUUUUUGUAACGUGACACAGUCUUGCUCUGCUACCCAAGAUGGAAU